CAGCAGCCGCGGGAAAACGUAGGUGGCAAGCGUUGUCCGGAAUUAUUGGGCGUAAAGCGCGCGCAGGCGGAUCGGUCAGUCUGUCUUAAAAGUUCGGGGCUUAACCCCGUGAUGGGAUGGAAACUGCCAAUCUAGAGUAUCGGAGAGGAAAGUGGAAUUCCUAGUGUAGCGGUGAAAUGCGUAGAUAUUAGGAAGAACACCAGUGGCGAAGGCGACUUUCUGGACGAAAACUGACGCUGAGGCGCGAAAGCCAGGGGAGCGAACGGGAUUAGAUACCCCGGUAGUCCCUGUCUCUUAUACA
rnacentral:rRNA from 1 species